UACGUAGGGUGCAAGCGUUAAUCGGAAUUACUGGGCGUAAAGCGUGCGCAGGCGGUUGUGUAAGACAGAUGUGAAAUCCCCGGGCUCAACCUGGGAACUGCAUUUGUGACUGCACAGCUGGAGUGCGGCAGAGGGGGAUGGAAUUCCGCGUGUAGCAGUGAAAUGCGUAGAUAUGCGGAGGAACACCGAUUGCGAAGGCAAUCCCCUGGGCCUGCACUGACGCUCAUGCACGAAAGCGUGGGGAGCAAACAGG
rnacentral:rRNA from 1 species